CUCGUGUCGUGAGAUGUUCGGUUAAGUCCGGCAACGAGCGCAACCCACGUCUUUAGUUGCCAGCAUUCAGUUGGGCACUCUAAAGAAACUGCCGAUGAUAAGUCGGAGGAAGGUGUGGAUGACGUCAAGUCCUCAUGGCCCUUACGGGUUGGGCUACACACGUGCUACAAUGGUGGUGACAGUGGGUUAAUCCCCAAAAGCCAUCUCAGUUCGGAUUGGGGUCUGCAACUCGACCCCAUGAAGUUGGAAUCGCUAGUAAUCGCGGAACAGCAUGCCGCGGUGAAUACGUUCCCGGGCCUU
rnacentral:rRNA from 1 species